rnacentral:rRNA from 1 species
UACGUAGGGGGGCAAGCGUUGUCCGGAUUUAUUGGGCGUAAAGAGCGUGUAGGCGGCCAGAUAGGUCCGUUGUGAAAACUGGAGGCUUAACCUCCAGCCGUCGAUGGAAACCAUUUGGCUAGAGUCCGGAAGAGGAGAGUGGAAUUCCUGGUGUAGCGGUGAAAUGCGCAGAUAUCAGGAAGAACACCCGUGGCGAAGGCGG